GUUCAACCCCGGGGUUGAAAUUUCAACCCUGCUUCAAAGCAGGGUUGAAAUUUCAACCCCGGGGUUGAAC